rnacentral:rRNA from 1 species
GACGUAGGGGGCAAGCGUUGUUCGGAAUUAUUGGGUCGGUAAAGCGCUCGUAGGCGGGAUCGAAAGUCCGUGUUGAAAGACCUCGGCUCAACUGAGGGACCGGCUCGGAUACUUCGAUUCUUGAGGCUAAUCAGAGGGUGAUGGAAUUCCCGGUGGUAGCGGUGAAAUGCGUAGAUAUCGGGAGGAACACCAGUGGUGUAGACGGCUUUCUGGACCAUAGCUGACGCUGAGACACGAAAGCGUGGGUAGCAAACAGG